AUUGAACGCUGGCGGCAGGCCUAACACAUGCAAGUCGAGCGAGCGGCGGACGGGUGAGUAAUGUAUGGGGACUGCCCGAUAGAGGGGGAUAACUACUGGAAACGGUAGCUAAUACCGCAUACUAUCGGAUAACCCAUAUGGGAUUAGCUAGUAGGUGGGGUAAUGGCUCACCUAGGCGACGAUCCCUAGCUGGUCUGAGAGGAUGAUCAGCCACAUUGGAACGGGGACACGGCCCAGACUCCAAGGGAGGAGGAAGUGGGGAAUAUUGAAAAAUGGGCGAAAGCCGAAGGCAGCAAUGCCGGGGGUAUGAAGAAGCCCUAAGGGUUGUAAAGUACUUUAAGUGGGGAGAGGUUACCGCAAGAAGAAGCACCGGCUAACUCCGUGCCAGAAGCCGCGUUAAUAC
rnacentral:rRNA from 1 species